rnacentral:misc_RNA from 1 species
UAUGCUGAAGCUUAUUGCAACAUGGGUGUUAUCUAUAAAAACCGAGGUGAUUUGGAAUCAGCCAUUGCCUGCUAUGAGAGGUGUCUAGCUGUGUCACCAAACUUUGAGAUAGCAAAGAAUAAUAUGGCGAUUGCUCUGACAGAUUUAGGAACAAAGGUUAAAUUGGAGGGAGACAUCAAUCAAGGCAUUGCAUAUUACAAGAAGGCUUUGUAUUACAAUUGGCACUAUGCUGAUGCCAUGUAUAAUCUUGGUGUUGCAUAUGGUGAAAUGCUGAAGUUUGAUAUGGCAAUUGUGUUUUAUGAACUUGCUUUCCACUUCAAUCCUCAUUGUGCUGAGGCUUGCAACAAUUUAGGAGUAAUAUACAAAGACCGAGACAACCUUGACAAAGCCGUGGAUUGCUAUCAGAUGGCUUUAUCAAUUAAACCAAACUUCUCUCAGUCUUUGAACAACCUUGGUGUAGUCUACACAGUCCAGGGUAAAAUGGAUGCUGCUGCAAGCAUGAUUGAGAAAGCUAUCAUGGCGAAUCCCACUUAUGCUGAAGCAUAUAAUAACCUAGGGGUCCUUUACAGAGAUGCAGGAAAUAUAACUAUGGCCAUUAAUGCUUAUGAGCAAUGUCUCAAGAUAGAUCCUGAUUCUCGCAAUGCAGG